GGUCAUACCCGCAAGAAGGCUGAGAAAUGUAUUUCAUUCUGAGUAGCCACGCAUCUCGCCCAAACGCAGGCCUUUUACUUCUACGUUGGAGAAAAGUUGAUUCAGCCGACAAUGGACUACUAUAAAGCAAUUAAAUAUUUUGGUGCAAAGAAUAUUUGAUGUAAUGGAAAAUACUCAACACAUGUUACUGAAUGAAAAUUUUUCAAAGGGCCAGCUGCAUGCGGCAGAUUAUUACCUAGUCAAUGUGGAACACGGCCAACCGCUGGGGAGGCAUCGGACAUUAUGCCAUCAUGUCAAGCAGUCACCAAGACCAGCCCUUUCCCCUGGAGCCCGUUAACAAUUAAAAUGUUGUGAAUUGC